UUUCCGGUUGAUCCUGCCGGACCUGACUGCUAUCGGAUUGAUACUAAGCCAUGCGAGUCUUUGUAGUAAUACAAGGCAGACGGCUCAGUAACACGUAGUCAACCUACCCUAUGGACAAGAAUAAUCUCGGGAAACUGGGCAUAAUUCUUGAUAGAUCAUAAUGCCUGGAAUGGUUUAUGGUUAAAAUGAUUCGUCGCCAUAGGAUGGGACUGCGGCCUAUCAGCUUGUUGGUGAGGUAAUGGCCCACCAAGGCGAUUACAGGUACGGGCUCUGAGAGGAGAAGCCCGGAGAUGGGUACUGAGACACGGACCCAGGCCCUAUGGGGCGCAGCAGGCGAGAAAACUUUGCAAUGUGCGAAAGCACGACAAGGUUAAUCCGAGUGAUUUCUGCUAAAGAAAUCUUUUGCCAGUCAUAAAACCACUGGUGAAUAAGGGGUGGGCAAGUUCUGGUGUCAGCCGCCGCGGUAAAACCAGCACCUCAAGUGGUCAGGAUGAUUAUUGGGCCUAAAGCAUCCGUAGCCGGCUUUGUAAGUUUUCGGUUAAAUCCAUGUGCUCAACGCAUGGGCUGCCGAAAAUACUGCAUGGCUAGGGAGUGGGAGAGGUAGACGGUACUCAGUAGGAAGGGGUAAAAUCCUUUGAUCUAUUGAUGACCACCUGUGGCGAAGGCGGUCUACCAGAACACGUUCGACGGUGAGGGAUGAAAGCUGGGGGAGCAAACCGGAUUAGAUACCCGGGUAGUCCCAGCUGUAAACGAUGCAGACUCGAUGAUGCAUUGGCAUAAUAGCCAGUGCAGUGUCGCAGGGAAGCCGUUAAGUCUGCCGCCUGGGAAGUACGUACGCAAGUAUGAAACUUAAAGGAAUUGGCGGGGGAGCACCACAAGGGGUGAAGCCUGCGGUUCAAUUGGAGUCAACGCCGGA
rnacentral:rRNA from 1 species